rfam:Aedes aegypti strain Liverpool supercont1.216 genomic scaffold, whole genome shotgun sequence.
CCUCUCGUUGCGUAGGGGUAACGCACCCUAUCUAGAGAACAGAGAGUCGUGAGUUCGAUUCUCACCGAGAACU